UCAGCGGGGUUGGCGUCUACAAGGGGACUAUGGGAUCCCAUUCUUCCUUUUUCCCUUUUGCUUCCUAGCCACAAGGUGAAGAGUUUUGCUCUGCCAUGCACUCCUGCCACGUUGUGCUUCCCGGCCACUGGCCCAAAGCAGUGGGGCCAGGUGAUCAUGAACUGCCACGUCUAGAACUUGUCUCAUCGAGGACUUUCAAAAAAGUCACAAGUGUGGAGUGCUGCCAAAAUGAGGAGCAGGAUACAAAUGCUGGUUGGCAUUGUUUGCUGCCAGUUGUCGCCAGGCCCCAAGCAUUCUCCUAGGGCAGGCCUGUGUGCAGCCCAUGCUGAGGCAUCUGCGAGUGCUUGGCCCAUGGUGGCUGGCUUUCCGGACCUCCCAGAGCGUGCGAUCGCGGAGAAGAGAGAAGCAGAAGGGUGGCUGCGGUGGGGGGUGCCCAGCCCUCCCAAGUUAACCCUGACGUUACCAAAGGAGUGGAAAACCUCGCCUGUGCCUCCGCCACAA